rnacentral:miRNA from 1 species
CGAUGGCAGCGUCAUCGAUGAGCCAGACACUGAGCCACCGACCGCUGAACCUGUCG